rnacentral:misc_RNA from 1 species
GAAAAAUGUAAAUUUGGUCGAGUCUUGAAAGGGGCAUUCAUAUAUAGCGUGAAACCUCUGCAAUUGGUGAAUUUUUUGAUUGGAAUUAGUUGCUUGGGAAACUUUAUUGAAAAAUUAAUUAAUAUUACUAUUGUUUAGGAAUGUAUCAGAGAACACAUAGAAUGAACAUUUACACAAGAAGCUGUCCUCCCAAAAUUUCUGACCUAAGUAUUGAAAUCAAGGUUCAAAUUGUCUUUUAAAUUCUUCUUGAGCUUCAUACCUGAUGUGUCAAUUAGGUACUUUUAUUGCUUGCGUAAUUUAAUGAUUCAAUUUGAAAAUUGUCUGGGAAAUUGCGCAAGGAGAAGCAAUGUCCUCUCUACCUCCGAAGUACACGACAAGAUUGAGAGAGGAAAGGGCUGAGAAUCCCUAACAAUUUGCUUGCUCUAGAUCUUCUCUGUUAUAUAUUUGUCUACAAACUUCUUCACCUUACCCAUUUAUUCAAAAGGAAAUUCAAAUAAUAAUUGUAAAGUGGGUUCUCCUGUAGAUUUUGGCCUGUCUUCUUCCUCAUAAAUCCAUCUUGAAAUCCUCAAAAUGAAAUGAAAGAAGCCAAUAUAUAUGAUGCAGGUUUUCUUGUUGGGAGUUUCUAAAAACUAGCUUUAAGCUAUUGCAAUAAUGUGUUCAAUUGUUAUUCUGCAACAAAAGUUUUGCCAUAUUUAUCCAAGGUUAUGAAGUUAUGAAAAUUUUAAUUGUGGUUCUGGUUCCCUUAACAUCAAAUUGGCAUAAGUCUGUAUAAAUUGUUCCAAG